AGCGAACGCUGGCGGCAGGCCUAACACAUGCAAGUCGAACGAACCUUUCGGGGUUAGUGGCGGACGGGUGAGUAACACGUGGGAACGUGCCCUUAGGUUCGGAAUAACUCAGGGAAACUUGUGCUAAUACCGAAUGUGCCCUUCGGGGGAAAGAUUUAUCGCCUUUAGAGCGGCCCGCGUCUGAUUAGCUAGUUGGUUGAGGUAAUGGCUCACCAAGGCGACGAUCAGUAGCUGGUCUGAGAGGAUGAUCAGCCACAUUGGGACUGAGACACGGCCCAAACUCCUACGGGAGGCAGCAGUGGGGAAUCUUGCGCAAUGGGCGAGAGCCUGACGCAGCCAUGCCGCGUGAAUGAUGAAGGUCUUAGGAUUGUAAAAUUCUUUCACCGGGGACGAUAAUGACGGUACCCGGAGAAGAAGCCCCGGCUAACUUCGU
rnacentral:rRNA from 1 species